rnacentral:rRNA from 1 species
AUUGAACGCUAGCGGGAUGCUUUACACAUGCAAGUCGAACGGCAGCGCGGACUUCGGUCUGGCGGCGAGUGGCGAACGGGUGAGUAAUGUAUCGGAACGUGCCCAGUAGCGGGGGAUAACUACGCGAAAGCGUAGCUAAUACCGCAUACGCCCUACGGGGGAAAGCAGGGGAUCGUAAGACCUUGCACUAUUGGGGCGGCCGAUAUCGGAUUAGCUAGUUGGUGCGGUAACGGCUCACCAAGGUGACGAUCCGUAGCUGGUUUGAGAGGACGACCAGCCACCCUGGGACUGAGACACGGCCCAGACUCCUACGGGAGGCAGCAGUGGGGACUUUUGGACAAUGGGGGCAACCCUGAUCCAGCCAUCCCGCGUGUGCGAUGAAGGCCUUCGGGUUGUAAAGCACUUUUGGCAGGAAAGAAACGUCGCGGGCUAAUACCCCGUGGAACUGACGGUACCUGCAGAAUAAGCACCGGCUAACUACGUG